UUCUUUUUGAAUAUUGGUCAGGUCAAAAUUUUAUCUCGUGUCUACUUCUUUGUCUAGAAACACUGUGUUUACAGUUAAAAAGGGGCAUGAUGUAGACACGUAAUUUUGACCCUUUCAAAUCCCGUUUUUCAAAUUUUACCCCUUUCACCGCACCCUUACCACGCAACCUUAUCCUGUCCAAUAACUACUCCACAAAACAAAAAAUAACCAACAAAGCAACAACAUUGACACCUCACGACCCCCAACCUCCAACGCUACGUACCCUCCUCUCCUUAAUCACAUUUCUUUUCAUAAUAACAGACUAACAGAAAGAGAAGGAGAAGACAUGGCCUAUAUCCUCACAUACAUAGCAAUAACAGAAAAAAGAGAGAAAUGGGGAUCAUAUUUUUGAUACCCACACACACACUCAUACAAAGGGAGUAUAUACAUGCAAAAAGGGGGAGGAUCUCCAUUCCCAUCAGGAUAAAAUCAGAGAGAAAAAUAGUCAAAGACCCACAUGGUAGAAUACAAAGAGUGAAUGGAGAGAGGAAAGAGAGAAAAUGGGAGGGAGGAGAAAGCAAUAGGGAGAGAAAAAUAGGAUAAAGGGAGAAAACGGGAGCGAGAACAGAAAAGGGGUUGAGAUUUUCCAGCACAUCUCCACUGGAAAAUCAAUCCCGUCCAGUCGCUCAUUUAAGUUGAUUUUGGCGAAAUCCUGCCGAAAAGCCAACCAUAAGCUCCUAUUUCUUACUCCGGCUAGUCGAAUCGCCAUCGGAAGACACCAUUGACGGCGACCAAAUGCACCGCCACUGAGAUCACCGAAAAAACUUGACCAAGCCACCGAAAAACAACCAAAAUCGACCCGACCAGCCCCAUAACGCCACUGCUCCAGCGAAAAUCACCACCAGAAAAUCCAUGUCGAGCAGCUGGGUUCGACGUUGAGGUUCAAUUUGGGUCGAGGCUCAUUGGAUUCGAUACUCUGGUCUUCGGUGAAUAAUCAAUGGAUUUGAUUCGGAAGAUCCAUUUCUUCCACUCUCUAUUCAUUUCUAUUUUUGUUCAAUUUAGAUAAUUUUGCGACACAUGAUUAUUUUACCCAUGGUUGUUUGAUUUAAUUCGAGUGAAUUCAGACUCCACUGUUGACAUUGAUAAUUUAGGAAGGGAUUGAAAAUUGAUAAAAUUGAAUACAAUUGGCUUGUUUUUGAUUCAUUGGUUGUUUGAUUUGAAACAGAACGUUAAUUUUGUUGAACUCGGUAAUAUCAUGAUUAGGCCGUCAUAUGAGGUAGGCAAAGUUAAGGAUUAUUGUUGGAUGUUUGAAUGUCUUUUUUUGUUUUAUCACACUUGAAUCAAAAUUUUAUUUAUUUGUUCGGAAAAUGCCCCGAGACUAUUUGACUUUAUUCAUCCGGAAAAUGCAACGUGAGAUUUUGUAAUUGAAGACAGUUCAUGAUCAAGGCUUGGGACGUCGGGUGGAGCUUAGCUUAGAACUAGUUUAGGAAAUAAUAGGUUUAUAUUUUCGUAACUUUCCAUUUUCGGGAUUGUUCAUUUGUUUUCUUGUUUAUGUACUUUUGUUUGUUUAUUCAUUUCAUAGUGUCAAGUUAGCCGAUGCAAUUCAAAGAAGUGAUCGUGUUCGAACCACGGGAUCCAGGGGUGUCUGAUACCUUCCAUUCGAUCAACAGAAUUUUUUAACAGAAAUCUCUGUUUGUAAAUCAGUAUUAAGAGUUAAAAUUAUUUUUAAAAAAGGAUUUUCAAAGGUGAAUUGGAACACCAGAUUUGCCAAGUGGCGACUUUGAGUUUUAAGUUUAAAAUCCUUUUCGAAAUGCAUUUUUCAUUUUUGUCACUUAAAUAAAAAAAAAAUCGAACUUACAAUCAAUAACUUCUUAGUAAAAAAAUAA
rnacentral:lncRNA from 1 species